rnacentral:rRNA from 1 species
UGCAGUCGAACGAUGAUCCCAGCUUGCUGGGGGAUUAGUGGCGAACGGGUGAGUAACACGUGAGUAACCUGCCCUUAACUCUGGGAUAAGCCUGGGAAACUGGGUCUAAUACCGGAUAUGACUCCUCAUCGCAUGGUGGGGGGUGGAAAGCUUUAUUGUGGUUUUGGAUGGACUCGCGGCCUAUCAGCUUGUUGGUGAGGUAAUGGCUCACCAAGGCGACGACGGGUAGCCGGCCUGAGAGGGUGACCGGCCACACUGGGACUGAGACACGGCCCAGACUCCUACGGGAGGCAGCAGUGGGGAAUAUUGCACAAUGGGCGAAAGCCUGAUGCAGCGACGCCGCGUGAGGGAUGACGGCCUUCGGGUUGUAAACCUCUUUCAGUAGGGAAGAAGCGAAAGUGACGGUACCUGCAGAAGAAGCGCCGGCUAACUACGUGCCAGCAGCCGCGGUAAUACGUAGGGCGCAAGCGUUAUCCGGAAUUAUUGGGCGUAAAGAGCUCGUAGGCGGUUUGUCGCGUCUGCCGUGAAAGUCCGGGGCUCAACUCCGGAUCUGCGGUGGGUACGGGCAGACUAGAGUGAUGUAGGGGAGACUGGAAUUCCUGGUGUAGCGGUGAAAUGCGCAGAUAUCAGGAGGAACACCGAUGGCGAAGGCAGGUCUCUGGGCAUUAACUGACGCUGAGGAGCGAAAGCAUGGGGAGCGAACAGGAUUAGAUACCCUGGUAGUCCAUGCCGUAAACGUUGGGCACUAGGUGUGGGGGACAUUCCACGUUUUCCGCGCCGUAGCUAACGCAUUAAGUGCCCCGCCUGGGGAGUACGGCCGCAAGGCUAAAACUCAAAGGAAUUGACGGGGGCCCGCACAAGCGGCGGAGCAUGCGGAUUAAUUCGAUGCAACGCGAAGAACCUUACCAAGGCUUGACAUGAACCGGAAACACCUGGAAACAGGUGCCCCGCUUGCGGUCGGUUUACAGGUGGUGCAUGGGUUGUCGUCAGCUCGUGUCGUGAGAUGUUUGGGUUAAGUCCCGCAACGAGCGCAACCCUCGUUCUAUGUUGCCAGCGCGUUAUGGCGGGGACUCAU